rnacentral:tRNA from 1 species
GGGGAAGUAGAUCAGCUGGUUAGAUCGUCACGUUGACAUCGUGAAGGUCCGCGGUUCGAGUCCGCGCUUCCCCACCA